UGACUGUACCCUAAGAAUAAGGUCCGGCUAACUUCGUGCCAGCAGCCGCGGUAAUACGAAGGGACCUAGCGUAGUUCGGAAUUACUGGGCGUAAAGCGCGCGUAGGCCGUUGAGUUAGUUAAUUGUGAGAUCCCAAAGCUUAACUUUGGAACUGCAAUUAAAACUGCUCGACUAGAGUUUGAUAGAGGAAAGCGGAAUACAUAGUGUAGAGGUGAAAUUCGUAGAUAUUAUGUAGAACACCAGUUGCGAAGGCGGCUUUCUGGAUCAACACUGACGCUGAGGCGCGAAAGUAUGGGUAGCAAAGAGGAUUAGAUACCCUCGUAGUCCAUACCAUAAACGAUGAUUGCUAGAUGUUGGAAAUUUAUUUUCAGUAUCGCAGCUAACGCAUUAAGCAAUCCGCCUGGGGAGUACGACCGCAAGGUUAAAACUCAAAGGAAUAGACGGGGACCCGCACAAGCGGUGGAGCAUGUGGUUUAAUUCGACGAUACGCGAAAAACCUUACCUGGCCUUGACAUAGUAGGAAUCUUUAAGAGAUUAGAGAGUGCUAGCUUGCUAGAACCUACAUACAGGUGCUGCACGGCUGUCGUCAGC
rnacentral:rRNA from 1 species